UUUUUGCGGAUACAGACUAACACGGCUGCUACUUUGAAAUCUGAUUUUUCUGAAUGCUGCCAGGGAGCAUUCCACAUACCAGACAGAGGUCCCCGAAACCCAUUUUGGGAAGCCCUCAGGGACUUAUGAAAAGACUCUAAGAGACUGGCAAAUUACCAGUACUACAUCUCUGCUAUCAUUUUAAACUUACAAACUUUAACUCACUUGUUAUAUAUUUUAUUUGCUUUAACCUUUUAAUAACUCUCAUUUCUUUUCUUAGCUAAUACAUCUUUAAUUUAAUUUACUAAAGAAAUUGGCUAUAGCAGGUCUUUGGUGUGAAAUCCAGAAGCAACCAGUGACCCGGGGUGAGUGACCGAUCCUUUGGGAUUGGAAGAACCUAAUUGUAUGCACAAACAGCAUGAAUCCCACUCCUGGUGCACUGGCAGAAGGAGAGGUUUGGGUUCAGCUUAAACUCUUCCAGGCUUGGAGGGGGAACACAGCCUGACUGCAACGUGAACACAAAGAUGUGAGGUAUGAGCAGACUGUGAUAUGAGAUUGCUGCUACCCUGUUCAAGUGAUUGAUGGAGACAAAAUCCUGGAGGCUUUGGAGUAGAGGAGCAGCAUGGACUCUCAUGACAGAGACACCCUCCCAGGGGUCUGGGAUGUUUGAAGAGAAGGAGAACAAUGUUUCCUGACUAAGAAACCAUUUGGAUGCUGUCCUGGUGAGAAAAUUUCAGGGACAUUUUUGCUGCUACUGACCCCACAGAAAAAAAGAAAAAGCUGAUAUCUACAAUGAGGUUUAAUUAAGUAAAGAAUAGGUUGAGUCUAAUUCCCUGUGGAAAUGAUAGAACAGAGGAAGGACUGCCUGGCCACGAGACUGAGAGCCAGGUGCCAGCAUUGCCAGAGCAGCACCAGCAGGAACCGGUAGAAAGUAGCCCAGGGAAACAAGACUUUGGUCUGGUUGUGC